rnacentral:rRNA from 1 species
GGACUACCCGGGUUUCUAAUCCCGUUCGCUCCCCUGGCUUUCGCACCCGAGCGUCAGAAACGAGCCAGGACACUGCCUUCGCCUUGGUGUUCUUCCGGAUCUCUACGCAUUUCACUGCUCCACCCGGAGUUCCAUGUCCCUCUCUCGCUCUCAAGCCCGCCAGUUUUCGAAGUCGUUCACCGGUUAAGCCGUUGAUUGUCACUUCGAACUUAGCGAACCGCCUGCGUGCGCUUUACGCCCAAUAAUUCCGGACAACGCUCGCCCCCUACGUAUUACCGCGGCGGCUGGCAC